rnacentral:rRNA from 1 species
AUUGAACGCUGGCGGCAUGCUUUACACAUGCAAGUCGAACGGCAGCACGGGCUUCGGCCUGGUGGCGAGUGGCGAACGGGUGAGUAAUGCAUCGGAACGUACCGUGUAGUGGGGGAUAACGUAGCGAAAGUUACGCUAAUACCGCAUACGCCCCGAGGGGGAAAGUGGGGGACCGCAAGGCCUCACGCUAUAUGAGCGGCCGAUGUCGGAUUAGCUAGUUGGUAGGGUAAAGGCCUACCAAGGCGACGAUCCGUAGCGGGUCUGAGAGGAUGAUCCGCCACACUGGGACUGAGACACGGCCCAGACUCCUACGGGAGGCGGCAGUGGGGAAUUUUGGACAAUGGGGGCAACCCUGAUCCAGCCAUGCCGCGUGAGUGAAGAAGGCCUUCGGGUUGGUUAAAGACGUCUUUCUAGACGGAAAGAAAUACGCAUCCUCUAAUACGGGUGUGGAUGACGGUACCGUAAGAAGAAGACACCGGCUAACUACGUGCCAGCAGCCGCGGUAAGU